ensembl:lncRNA SCN1A-AS1 SCN1A and SCN9A antisense RNA 1
GGCCGAGGAGACGCCAAGAGCGAUGAAACAAGCUUCUGGUUCAAGAGUUUCUUCAGGUUCCACUACGGGCUGUUCUUCUACAGGUGCGCCGAUGUCCACAGUGCUACCUUCUGAUGAGCUACUGCUUUCAUUCAGUUUCUGCUGACUUAAUAUGUGAGCUGACAGAAUGCAGAGACCACGUUGUAUAUGAAGCAUCCACUUUGCCUUGUACACCAGGGCAUUCAAUAACCACUUAAUAACUACAACCCUGAUGAUCCGAUUCACUACUAAAGUCUUCCGUGUUUAAAUUUUCAAAGUCAGAUUCUCCUACAGCAAUUGAACCUGAGAAAGAUGAAUGAAAUUUAGUGUUUCCCAUCCCCGAGAGACACCCAGCAUCCACAACUUCACACUCUGAUGCCAUUGUGUAUUUAUGCAAGAAAUACCAUAACUAAGAUGAGGUCUCGCUAUGUUGCCUAGGCUAGUCUUGAACUCCUGGCCUCAAGUGAUCCUUCUGCCUCAGCAUCGGGAGUCACUGGGAUUAAAGGCAUGAGCCACCAUGCUCAGAUACAGUUUUUCACAAAUUGAAAGUUUGUGGCAACCCUACAUCCAGCAAGUCAAUUUUGGUGCCAUUUUUCCAACAGCAUGUGCUCACUUCGUGUAUCUGUGUCACAUUUUGGAACUUGACAUCAUCAGACAGUAAAUCAAGAGGUACUGACAACUGAGACUGAGUGAUGGUCCCUGCCUAGGAUUUGGAAUCUUUGCAUGAAAUAGGGACUCUAGCCACCAGCGACAAAGAAGUCA